UGAAGCUCCUUUCUCUGUGAUAACUCCAGCUGUGUCAAGUUGACACAAAACUAGCCAGUACAGCCACUUCCUCUUUUCAAGGUUCAACUAUCAAAGUGUGCCAAUACUUGAGUUUGGCAAUUAAAAGCCCCCCCUUUGACUCCUCUAAUUAACAUGACCAAUUAAAAUUAAACACCUGAUCCUAACGUGGAGUUUCUGCUUUUACCUUUAUAAAUUGUCUGCCACCUCUCUCUCUGGAGGCUGUCCUUUGCCCCCUUUCCCUUCUCUUCCUAUUUCCCCUCAUUCUGUCUCCUGUUUUUGUAUCUUAUUUCUGGCCCUUUGUCCUUCUGGAACAAAUAAAUCUCCUUGUGCUGAGAACUUGACCUUGGGAUAUCUUGCAGUUUCCUGCACAAAGCACCUCUCAAAACCACGGAAGUAAUGAAAUAAUGAUGCUUCUUUUAACUCCUCCCCUCUCCUGUAUUCUCCCUCCUCCUCCUCUGUCAGGUUGAGAAUUGAACUCCCUGCAUGCUGAGAAACCAUUCCUUUUGAAGAGGAAAAAAGUGAAGGGGGGAAAAAGAGGAGAAUAUAUAUAUGGUAAGUUUUACCUUUUGGUAAAAGAAAACAAAAAUGUCUGACUUUUUAUUAUCCUUUCAGUUAUAAAUUUAAAAACAGUGGCCCCCAAACAUGGAGAAAAGAAGCCGAAGGAAGCCAGGGAGAUGGAAACAUUGAAAGGUCAAGGCAAGGGCAGAUUACUUCCGUUUGAGCUCUAGGUUUUAUGUAUGUGGUAUUGAAAGCUUACCUGACCUGGAAGCACAUGAUCUGAGCUCUAUUUCUUAGAUAUGAGGCAUUGGAGAGCCUAGCAGACCCAGAAGUAACACCACUGUACUGAUGCCAGAAAUAAGGCUGCACUAACAUGCUAAUGAUGCUGACAUGACGGUGCCAACAGUAGUACUAAUGGAGACUGGAUGUGGGAUGCUCCACAUCAGCUUAUGAAACUUGAGUUCUUUCACUUGUUCUAACACAUAAAAGGAAUACUUAUGAUUUUAUUUUAUUUUAUUUUUUUAAGAAAAUAAGCCUAAAGGAAUAAGUCAGAAAAGCCCAGAAUGUCAAAAGGCACCACCAAAAUGUUACCUUUUCCCUACAGGUGACAAAAGCAAUGUGUAUUCUUCUUGUGGAUUGCCCUGGUGCUGUUUGCAUUUUGAGGCUAAUUCCACUUCCCUAAGAGGGGCUUCCUGGCACUAAGGAGUGAACCCUGUACUCAGGUGACUUCAUGUGAACCUUCUGCCCAUUUUAACUUGUAAAAAAUAAAGGCUAGAGCCAGUGAUUGGGCAGUGGAAGAGAGGGUGGAGCUGAAAAGUUUGAGGGAGAAGGAGGAAGAAGAGAGGAAGGAGAGCGAAGAAGGAAGAAGGGGUUGAAGGAAACUGGAGCAGAAGCAUGUGACAUGGCUCCCUUCGAAGUGCCCAAGGGAUUACUCCUACCUCCCAUUUAACCAAUACAUUCUCUUUGCUGCUGAGUUCUGCUUUUUCAUAUACUGAACACCAGUUUUUAGGAAAGGGAGUAGUGGUGUGCUUUGGAAUGUCUAUCGAGGUAAGCAUUUUGGACAGAUGGAUCAAUAGUUGCAGAGUAAAUAAAGAGCAAUCUCUAUUUCCAGCUCUGUCUUACUCUUACACACACACACACAUACACACACACACACACACACACACACACACACACACACACACGCCCACACGCACACGCCCACACGCACAUGUACGUCCUAGUGUAGGGGAUGGCUGCUUGCAAUUUUAGAUGAGAUAGCUAGGGAGCAAUUUGCAAAUUGGUCUACUGUUGGUGAUUUUCACUGGUGUGCUUCCAUGAAGCAGCAGAUGUGUUGUGGGAUGAGGAAGAUGGGCCACUCAGCCCAGAUAAUAGCUGUGUGAAAACCUGCUUGCUUUAUUCAAAGGACUAAUAUCAGACUAUUUGAGUGGAUCAAGUUUGCCAGUGGGCUCAAUUCUGUGCUUCCUGCUGUUUUCUUUAAAGUAUACCAGAAUUACAAAUGGUUUUGCUUUCAGUUUUAAUUUUCUGUUCCAUUUCCUUUGAGGUCGACCAGUUCUCUCUUUGUGAUUUAAAGCUGCAUGUCUGGAAGUAUGAAAAACUCAUAGUCCAGAAGAGCUGUGGAAUGACUGACUGGUCGGAGCAUGGAAUUCUGCACAUCACCACUGCUGUGCUGCAGUGGUGCAAAACCCUUUCCUGUUUGGCCUUUUCAGCUAACACGAGAACUUCAUAACCAUCUACUUCUGAGGGCCUGUGACUACCAUGAGUCUGCCCUUCUCCUCUGGAAAUGCUAGAGUGAGCUCCAUGACAAAGAUAUGACCUUGGAAGUGGAGAUGGACAUGGUCUUAGCUUUUGGGAAGGUUUACAGUCUAGAAGGAUGGGCCUCAAAGCAUGAUGAACUAUGAUAGAGCCAUGUCAGGCCCCAGAGAUGGCACCUGGCAGACUCCACAUUCGGAACUCCCAUUUCUGCACCGAAGCAAAGCAGCCGGGGGAACAGACAGUGACUGCGAAUGUGAGAUCAGUAUUGCGAUCAGGCCCCAGCGCUCCGCUUCACCUCGCAGUCAGUCGAUCUGGUCAUGUUGGAACCAGCCCUUUGUGGGCAGCUGCUUUCCAGCUUCAGUUCGGCAAACCAGUGUUUAUUAAAGCGGCUGCCACCCCGUUAACAAUUCUUGUCAAUAUUCUCGGCCAUUAGCCAAAGUAGUUUGUGACGUGAGAUGUAUUUGGUGGCACGUAGGAUCUCAGUGCCAGGUUUCAUAUGACUCUGUUUUACAUCCUCCUUUGUUGGCUGACACCCCCCCCCCACCUCUCCCCCAUCCCACUGCAGUACCAUCUCCACCUCUCUCUCUCUCCUCCCAGCUUUCUGUUUCCCACUUUCGUAUCCCAUGUACAGCCUUCUCAGCCUUCUCUCGUCCAGCCUCCUCUGAUAGGCUUGUUUGUGGUUUUCUGACGUACACUCACUGCCGCAUACAAAUUAGAAGCUAGGACCCGCACGUGAGAGGGGAUGGGCAGCAUUUGUCUUUCUGAGCCUGCUUACCUAAUUCGGAAUGAUUAUUUCCCGAUUCCUCCACUUUCCUUGCAAAUUUCAUAUACUUUUUACAGCCAAAUAAUAUUGUGCCCUGUACCACAUUCUCCUUAUCUAUUCCUCUGCCGAGGGAUGUGCGGGCUGGUUCUGUGGAGAGGAGAAGGAGAAGCAGCCAUGAGAUAGCUGAGCAAUAAAAACGUGGCCAUGUGGGCUGCUCAACUGCAGCUAAAGCAGCCCAGAUGCAACAUAGUAAGUAACAAUUCAAGGUUAUCUUGAGGAGAGUAGAUUCUAAAAGCAUGGAGGGUAGACAGCUGCCCAGCUAUUGUGCUACUCAAAGCGUAUUGUGAAAAUAAAGGCUGUGAGUGUGUCUUUCUUCCAGGAACUCAAUAACCCAAGGUGGGGUAGAAACUCUGGGCUGGGAUUUUAUAGUUUCCUACUACAUCUUACUAUUGUGAAUGGAGCAGCAGAAACCAUGGAUACACAUGUCUCUCUGGACUAAGAUAUAGAGCUCCUUGAGUGUGUGUGUCUAGGAGUAGUCUGGGUGGCUUAUCUAGCACUUCUAUUUUUACAUUUUGAGAAUCCUCUAAUCUCCGUAUUCUUGCACCUUCAACGGCUGCACCACAUUUCUUCUCAGCAAAGGUUAAUACGCGUUCCUCUCUCCUCACAUUGGCUUUCGUCCUGGCAGCCAUUCUGACGGUGAGAUAGAAUCUCAGGGUAGUUUUAAUUUGCAUUUCUCUGGUAGUUAAGAAUGGUAAACAUAUUUUAAAAUGUUUACCGGCUGGCGUGUAGAAAUUUCUUAGCUCUGGGAUUUUGAGCCUUGUUCUGCUAUAUAUAGGAACCAUUAUAUUUUGAACUGCUCAGAGGUUGUUUUUGUUCAGAUUUUAUGUGUAAUAACACUAGUGGUUUUGCAGGGAUAGAGGAACUGUGGGCAAGGAGACCCAAGGAUAGAUGACUGCUACUUAAAGCAUUAUACCUUACCAUAUCUAUUCAACAAAUAUACAUUGAAUCCCUCUACUGUGCUAAGCCCUAACAUGGAGAUUAGACAGAAGAGUUAAUAAAUUAUAACAAUUAGUGAUAAGUCCUUUAGAAGUGGGCACAGGCCAAGAAAGAAUGACAGUCUAAAGUCUAGAACUGGCAAAACUGAAAGAGAGCAGUGUAUACAGAGAGGGGAGUAGUUAUACUAUAGGACCUCACAGCCUGAAGCACAAGCAGGCAUGGUCUGAGACCUGCUGAGGUCCGGCAGCAUUGUGGAUGUCCCUUUGGGAAUUGAUGGAUGAUUAUCCUGGAGAUGAGGUGACAGAUGUGGUGAGAAUUGUUUGUCAUCUUGAGGCCUUUGAUUAUGGAAAGGAAAGGGGAGUCAGGUACCAAAAUGUGUACUUUUACACACUGGAUAGCCCCAGUGUGAUGAUAAAGGAGGCAGUGAUGUGUUAGAAUAGCGGCUCACGUCUGAACACAACAAACCAGGCCAAAGCAGUUCUACAUGUUAAGAGGUUUAUUGGGAGAGAGAGGGGCAAGGAAGGUGGUGGCAGAAAGAGAAGGGGGAAAAGAGAGAGAGAGGGAGAGGGAGAGGGAGAGGGAGAGGGAGAGGGAGAGAGAGAGAGAGAGAGAGAGAGAGAAUUCCUCUUAUAUAUAUGGAUGGUGACGUGGUCACAGGUAAAGAUGGGAGGUGAGUCCAAUGGAUUCUGGGAAUAUGGUAGCCGUUAUCUUGGCAACAAGUAUGUAGGUCGCACAGUUGCCUAUGUGAUGUCACUGGUUUCUGAGGUCCUGAUGCCAACAGACAGAAUCUCUGGAGAGUAUGAGAGUAAGGUAGUAUGAACCCUUUCUUCACACAAUAGCUCCCAGAGUCUCCCCCAACCUCUGUUUUGAGACAAGGUCUUGCUGUGUAGCCCAAGCCAGACUGGAACUCACUAUGGAGUCCAAGCUGAUCGUAAACCACAGCAAUCCUUCUGCCUGAGCCAUUUGACCACGAAAUACAGUUUCUUCUUCUUUUGCAAACAUGGGAGUAAAGGUCCUCUAAGCGCUCGAGUCUGCUGGCAUCCUGAACUCGAUUGCCAGAGCCGUGAGAAAUGUUUAUUGUUUAAACCUUCCUUUUCAUGGCAGUUUCAGCUAAAACUAAGGUGGAAAUGAAAUUGGUUGUCUUUUCUUUAUUUCUGUUCUUAAUAGGAAAAGAAGCAGAAUGGAGAAGUUAAAGACAGGAGAGAGAGAGAAUUCUGAAAAAUUUUAUCUAUCCGUCCAUCCAUUCAUUCGUGCACUGGGCGAUAGAACCAGAAGUCUCCCACAUUCUAGGCCAGUGCUCUGUCAUGGCUAUAGCGGCACCCACCCCCAUUUUAAUGUUAAUGUAGGAUCUUGCUAUGUUACCACGGCUUUCUUUGAGCUCCUUCUGUAGUCUAGGCAAAACCUAUAAUCCCCAGGCUUUAGACAUUUGACUAGCUGCGUUUAGAGGCCUGAACCAUGAGACAUGGACAUUUGUGUUAAAAUGUAAAUAUAAACAUUCAGAAGCAAAACACAGAGGAUUUUUUUUUUUAGUUUUAAAAUAUUCAUUUAUUUAGUGCCUGGGUUUGUGUGCAUGUGCUUGCGGCAGUGUGCACACGUGGAGGUCAGAGGAUAACCUGCAGGCCUUAGCUCAAUCUUCCCUGUAUGGAGCGCCUUUAAGAGCUCCACCAACAUGUGUAGCAGAGGACGGCCUUGUUGCACAUCAGUGGGAGGAGAGGCCCUCGGCCCUGUGAAGGCUCAAUGCCCCAGUGUAGGGGAAUGCCAGGGCAGGGGAGCAAGAGUGGGUGGGUUGGUGAGCAGGGGGUAGGGGUAGGGGAUAGGAGGGUUUCAGAGGAGAAACCAGGAAAGGGGACAACAUUUGAAAUGUAAAUAAAAUAUCUAAUGGAAAAAAAAAAGAGCACUUUGAAAUUUCUGCUUGAUGAUGUGAGCGGUGAGGCUGAGCUGUGGGAAGACAGGAGAGGAAGGAAGAAGCAGCAUGUUUGAAUGACCUCAUCAUACCCCGCCACACAGUUGUUCAGAGAUGACCCAGAAGACACAAGAGGCAAGUCCAGGAAUUAGCUCAACAGCUCAGUGAAGUAACAGGGCGUAUGUUAAUUGGAAGGGAUUGGUAUCAGCCCAGGACCCCCCAAGACCAAGUUCUAACCACAAAGGAGAUUUCUUUGCUCAACAAGGACAAAAGGGUAGGGAUAAGAGGCAAGGACAGAGAUAGAGGAUGAGGGAUAAGGCAAAGGGACCAAGGGAUAGGAGGAAGGGGUAUUUGUCCCAAAGGAGGACAAAGAUGGCCUGGUAAAGGGGGAAAUCUCAUGUCGGGAUGAGGUGUUUCAUUGUGCAUGCUAUUUAGAUGAGCCAAAGAGGGCUGAACUUUAAGACUUUGAUGGCUGGACCUUGGUAGUCAGCCUCUGGAGGAGGAAGUGGCCAAAUAAGAGAAUAGACCUUGGGAGAGAGCUUUAGGAAAGUCAUCUAACAAUUUGUAGCAAGGCAGAGGGAACGGGGUGAAGGGCUAGGCCUGCCAGAGCCCUGCUGACCAUGUUGGAGCUGGACAGAGUCCAGUCCCAAAUUAACUAGUGUGCCAGAAAUGCAUGUAAGUAGAUAAAGACAAAGAAAUGCAAUAAUUGUAACUGUUACUUAAACUAUCCUUAGGAAGCUUCACUAGUAAAGAUCAAAUAGUUCAUAGAAUAGUCCCAAAGAAGUAGGUUAGACAUGUAGGUGGCCCCAGUAGAGAACCUGGGAGGGGUGGAAUGGUCUGGAGUGUGCAAUAUCAUCAACAAA